rnacentral:rRNA from 1 species
AGUGAACGCUGGCGGUAGGCCUAACACAUGCAAGUCGAACGGCAGCACAGUAAGAGCUUGCUCUUACGGGUGGCGAGUGGCGGACGGGUGAGGAAUACAUCGGAAUCUACUUUUUCGUGGGGGAUAACGUAGGGAAACUUACGCUAAUACCGCAUACGACCUACGGGUGAAAGCAGGGGAUCUUCGGACCUUGCGCGAUUGAAUGAGCCGAUGUCGGAUUAGCUAGUUGGCGGGGUAAUGGCCCACCAAGGCGACGAUCCGUAGCUGGUCUGAGAGGAUGAUCGGCCACACUGGAACUGAGACACGGUCCAGACUCCUACGGGAGGCAGCAGUGGGGAAUAUUGGACAAUGGGCGCAAGCCUGAUCCAGCCAUACCGCGUGGGUGAAGAAGGCCUUCGGGUUGUAAAGCCCUUUUGUUGGGAAAGAAAAGCAGCAGGUUAAUACCCCGCUGUUCUGACGGUACCCAAAGAAUAAGCACCGGCUAACUUCGUG